GUAGGGAAUAUUGGACAAUGGGCGCAAGCCUGAUCCAGCCAUGCCGCGUGCAGGAAGACGCAUCUAUGGUGUGUAAACUGCUUUUGUACGGGAAGAAACACUCCCUCGUGAGGGAGCUUGACGGUACCGUAAGAAUAAGGAUCGGCUAACUCCGUGCCAGCAGCCGCGGUAAUACGGAGGAUCCAAGCGUUAUCCGGAAUCAUUGGGUUUAAAGGGUCCGUAGGCGGUUUAAUAAGUCAGUGGUGAAAGCCCAUCGCUCAACGAUGGAACGGCCAUUGAUACUGUUAGACUUGAAUUACAAGGAAGUAACUAGAAUAUGUAGUGUAGCGGUGAAAUGCUUAGAUAUUACAUGGAAUACCAAUUGCGAAGGCAGGUUACUACUUGUGGAUUGACGCUGAUGGACGAAAGCGUGGGGAGCGAACAGGAUUAGAAACCCGAGUAGUCC
rnacentral:rRNA from 1 species